GCCACACCAGCGCAUGAUGAACUGUAGGUCAGGUGAAAUCGUUUUCUCCUUUACAGAUCCUUUUAUUUUGAAACACGUUUUAGUAAAUAUGACUUACUUUUAUUUUCUGAAUAAUGAGCUGCAGUGAAGUAAAGUCACAUUAUUUAUGCUCCUGCAUUAGUCAACAAUGAGCUUCAUGUUUGUGCUGUACCGCUGCAAUUCAUGUGCUUGACCGUGUGUAAGAGCCACUGUAGAUGUGCUCAAUGAGCCAAGAAGACCCAGAGUCGCUGCGAUCCGAUCCAGUCUCUUUCCUCUGGGCCUGAAGCAGCGCACCUCCAUCAUCGUCAUCUGAAGCUUUUUCGAUCCUUUGAAUUUCCUCACGCCCGUGUCUCAGAGUCUGCGUCUUCUUCUGUGGUGCUUGUGCUCAGGUUCAUUACGUAGAGACGCACCUGGCACGUUUAAUGUCAACGGUUAACGGUUAACCUGACAGUUAAAUCAAAGGAGAAGAAUUAGCUAAUCACUCCCGCUGUAAUGAGGCCGUCGGCCCCAAUAAGACAGCAGCUUCAGCGUUCGUCCUGCCGCAGAGCCGCUUCGCAGCCUCCAGCCUGUGUUUAACUCCCUUACAUCCCUCCAGCCUCCUCCACAGAAGUCGGGCUCUAAUCUGUAAUGCCACAGGCAGCCAUCUACUGAAAUCCAUUAGCUCUGAUGGUCACCGAAUGGUCAUUAUGAGGUCAUUUAGGAGGUUCAGCACGGCAGUCUUCUCCCCACAUAUUAGGGAAUCAUGA
rnacentral:lncRNA from 1 species